rnacentral:lncRNA from 1 species
GGAGGGGGCCCAGACCCGAGAACACGGGAAUACUGACCAAACGAAUUGAGAUUUAUGGAUAUAUUGUACUAUAAUAUUACCAGUGUAAUGAAAGAUUAUUGGGGAUGCCGUAGUCCCUAGCGGUCAGCGCACACACACACACACACACACACACACACACACACACACACACACACACACACACACACACACACACACACACACACACACACACACACACACACACAC